rnacentral:tRNA from 1 species
UGGGCUGUAGCUCAGUGGUAAAGCGCUUGCAUCGAAUGCAUGAGGCACUGGCUUCGAUGCCCAGCACCACAU